GGACUUCCCUGAUUUUGGCAGUCACAAAAAACGCAAGGAAUGAUCAAAGCCUUCCAUACAUAGUGAAAUAAUUAACUUUCAAUUUAUGACAUCCAGAAUAAACUUUCAAUUUAUGACAUCCAGAAUAAGUAGAACCAAACAAAUUGAUGCCAUAUUAGCAAGCAGUUUCUUUACCUAGUGUUAUUAAAUACAGCUCGGAAAUUGACCCAGCAGAGAUAUCAGGUCAAUGGGUCAGUAGUUCAACAAAUGAGUCAUUAAAAAAAUUAAUUAAACAUACAUAAUAUAUAUAAAUUAAUUAAAUAUAAUACCUAUAAAUAUAAAUAAAUAAUCUAAUUAAGUUUCAUUUAUUUAAAAUCAACCAUUCAACAUUUAUUAGGUUAUAUUUACAUAUAUUUUAAUAAUGUUUUCAAAUUUUAUAUGAAUUUCAAAUUUUAAUACAUAAAUUUCUAUAAAUGUUUAUAAACUUUUUAAUUUAAUAUUUAUGAAAUACUAAU
rnacentral:misc_RNA from 1 species